CUGGCUCAGGAUGAACGCUAGCUACAGGCUUAACACAUGCAAGUCGAGGGGCAGCAUUGGGAUAGCUUGCUAUCCAGAUGGCGACCGGCGCACGGGUGAGUAACGCGUAUCCAACCUUCCCUAUAGUAGAGAAUAGCCCGGCGAAAGUCGGAUUAAUGCUCUAUGUUGUGUUUUGAGGACAUCUGACGAACACCAAAGGUUCACCGCUAUAGGAUGGGGAUGCGUCUGAUUAGCUUGUUGGCGGGGUAACGGCCCACCAAGGCGACGAUCAGUAGGGGUUCUGAGAGGAAGGUCCCCCACAUUGGUACUGAGACACGGACCAAACUCCUACGGGAGGCAGCAGUGAGGAAUAUUGGUCAAUGGGCGAGAGCCUGAACCAGCCAAGUAGCGUGCAGGAACCGACUGCCCUAUGGGUUGUAAACUGCUUUUAUCAGGGAAUAAAGUGCGGCACGUGUGCCGUUUUGUAUGUACCUGAUGAAUAAGGACCGGCUAAUUCCGUGCCAGCCGCUGC
rnacentral:rRNA from 1 species